UUUAAUUAGUAUAUACUUAGUACAUUUAACUUCCAAUUAAAGAGAUUUCUCAAAAAAAUUAAAC
rnacentral:tRNA from 1 species